GCCAAGGUGGCAGAGAUUAUGCGCUAAAUUUAAGCUUUAGAGACGGGCUAUAGCUCCCUGGGUA
rnacentral:tRNA from 1 species